rnacentral:rRNA from 1 species
AUUGAACGCUGGCGGCAGGCCUAACACAUGCAAGUCGAGCGAGCAGCGGACGGGUGAGUAAUGUAUGGGGACUGCCCGAUAGCGGGGGAUAACUCCUGGAAACGGUAGCUAAUCCCGCAUACUAUCGGAUAACCCAUAUGGGAUUAGCUAGUAGGUGAGGUAAUGGCUCACCUAGGCCACGAUCCCUAGCUGGUCUGAGAGGAUGAUCAGCCACACUGGGACUGAGACACGGCCCAGACUCCUACGGAGGCAGCAGUGGGGAAUAUUGCGCAAUGGGCGCAAGCCUGAUGCAGCCAUGCCGCGUGUAUGAAGAAGGCCCUCGGGUUGUAAAGUACUGUCAGUAGGGAAGCGUUACCGACCGAAGAAGCACCGGCUAACUCCGUGCCAGCCGCCGCGGUAAUAC